rnacentral:snRNA from 1 species
GAGAAUCAAGCUUUGCUAG